GUCGACGCAUGGUUUGCUUGGAAUUCCUGGCUAUGUACAGUUCACCUCCCAUAUUUGAAGAUAUGUCAACCUGCUAGCUCAGGAAAGACAUGCAAGAGGACGAGGAACCAUGAAGUCGGCGGUUUACGUCAACGGGAUAUUUUGUGUAAUGGUGAUAGAUUCAUUGGAGAUGCAUUUUACCUAUCAUUUUGUACACCCACAUUGUGUCUGGGACAAUGAACCAUAAUGUAUUCAUUCUGCAAGAUCUGAUGUAUGUAGUUGCCCACUAGAAGGAGCCGAGGCAGAUGAUGUGCCUCGGAGACAUAUUCUAGAAAACAAAAGAAUUUUUUGCUCUCAGACAAUGAACCAGAAAGUUUCCUC